rnacentral:rRNA from 1 species
GACGUAGGGCGCGAGCGUUGUCCGGAUUUAUUGGGCGUAAAGAGCUCGUAGGCGGUUUGUCGCGUCUGCUGUGAAAACUCAGGGCUUAACCCUGAGCCUGCAGUGGGUACGGGCAGACUAGAGUGUGGUAGGGGAGAUCGGAAUUCCUGGUGUAGCGGUGGAAUGCGCAGAUAUCAGGAGGAACACCGGUGGCGAAGGCGGAUCUCUGGGCCAUAACUGACGCUGAGGUGCGAAAGCGUGGGGAGCAAACAGG